GUGAGGAAUAUUGCACAAUGGAGGAAACUCUGAUGCAGCAACGCCGCGUGGAGGAUGACGCAUUUCGGUGUGUAAACUCCUUUUAAGAGGGAAGAUUAUGACGGUACCUCUUGAAUAAGCACCGGCUAACUCCGUGCCAGCAGCCGCGGUAAUACGGAGGGUGCAAGCGUUACUCGGAAUCACUGGGCGUAAAGGGUGCGUAGGCUGACUUUUAAGUCAGGCGUGAAAUCCAAUGGCUUAACCAUUGAACUGCGCUUGAAACUGGGAGUCUAGAGUUCAGAAGGGGCAGAUGGAAUUAGUGGUGUAGGGGUAAAAUCCGUAGAUAUCACUAGGAAUAUCAAAAGCGAAGGCGAUCUGCUGGGAUGAUACUGACGCUGAGGCACGAAAGCGUGGGGAGCAAACAGGAUUAGAAACCCCUGUAGUCC
rnacentral:rRNA from 1 species